CGCUGGCUGGCAGGGACCUUGAAACGCCAUAGAAUUGUGGCUAUAAACAUGGCUACAGCCUGUAUCUCCGCCAUGAGGCUGGAAAGCUAAGGAAUGGACUGGAUCUAGCUGGCAAAGCCACGGCUUUAAUCCUACUCAUAUUGCUCAGUAAUUUAAAGGCUCGUGUGGUCAGAAAAAGAGAGAUAUACAGUAAAGAGAUUCAAAGACAAAGAAAAUGUUUAAAUGAUUUACAGUGUGUUAAAAAUAUAUGCAAGCUAAAAGUUAAAAGUUCUUAAAAAAAAAAAAGUAAGAAAAAGAGAAGUUGUGUGUGGUAGCACACGCCUUUAAUCCCAGUGCCUAGAAGGCAGAGACAAACAGAUCUCUGUGAGUUCAAGGUGUGGUAGCAAACACCUUUAAUCCCAAUGCCUGGGAGGCAGAGACAGGCAGAUCUCUGAGAGUUCAAGGAGAGCCUGGUCUACAGAGUUAUUCCAGGUCAAAGAGAUACAGAGAAUAUAAAAGUAAAAAUAAACGAAAUAGAGGUUAAAAUAAAGCGUACAAAGAUGGAAAAUACACAGAGAAUCUUGAUACUGUAUACUAUUAUGCUCUCUUUGAAUUGUUUGAAUGCUGAGGAAGGAGCAACAGCUGCCAAAAGAUAUUUGUUUAUAAAUGCUGCUGAACUAAUCCAACGUAGAGAUUUUGAUGCCUUGACUUUGAAAUUUGGAUCUAAGGACAUGAUACUUUGGAAAGGAGUUUCUUUUUUUGUUUUCACAGAGGAUGAGACCCUGUUCAUUUCUUCUAUUCCGAUAUGGUAUGAUGGACCACGCCCUCCUGAACGGUUGCUGUGAAUACCUUCAGAAAAUUGCUUCGCUCAACUGCCAACUGAGAUGAAACUAGCACACAGGUUAUACCAUGAAAGACCUAAUUAACGACGCCCCCAUUCAGCAGGAAGCAGUUUGGAGAGAAAAAACUGCGCCCAUGUUCCCAAAUAUGGUUUAUAAAUGUUCUUUUACAUUUAAAGGGGGAUAUGAUAUAGAUAUGAAUAAUUUGCAUUAGUAUAGAUUUUGCUUUAUUGAUAGAGAUUUAAGGUCAAUUUUGAAUGUAUAUAGGUUGUUAAUGAAUAAUCAUUAAUAGUAGUUAAGCUUGUAGUUAUGUUAGUUAAGAUUUUCUAGAUGUGCAUAGAUAUAUUUUAGAUAGGCAUUCUUCAUAUCUUUCAAAGGCUAGAGAAUAUGGCAUUUUACAUGUUUUAAUAACUUAGGACUUUUCAUGACAAUGAGACACUCUGCUCCUGGCAGCACCAAUCUACUUCAAGAGGAAGAUGGGCAUCGAAGAGGAUCCUUAUGGAGUUUGAUAGCCAUUUGGGCAAGAAACUGCUCUUGCCUGGACUAUUGCAUAAACUGGACACAGAGAACCCGCAGAGAGAGGACUGCUGAACUUGCCUAAAGGUGAGAUGAUCUUUCGGGGUUCCUGAUUCAUGAAAGAGUCUGCAAGACAUUCUUCAGGACAAGCAGAUAGUGACUGCCUUUGAAAUUUCCUGCUUUGUGGAAAUGUCUGCUGGAAACUAUGGGCCUGUAGGCCGAAGAUGGAUGCCCCAACGGUACAGAGGAACUUUGGGUGACUGUCCAGGCAGCGAGAUGUCUCUGUCAUUUCUAGAGCUUUGGAUGUUAAGUUAAAGCCUUCUUUUUUUUUUUUUUUUUUUUUAAA